UUAAGCGACUAAGCGUACACGGUGGAUGCCCUGGCAGUCAGAGGCGAUGAAGGACGUGCUAAUCUGCGAAAAGCGUCGGUAAGGUGAUAUGAACCGUUAUAGCCGGCGAUGUCCGAAUGGGGAAACCCAGUGCAAUUCGUUGCACUAUCGUUAACUGAAUACAUAGGUUAACGAGGCGAACCGGGGGAACUGAAACAUCUAAGUACCCCGAGGAAAAGAAAUCAACCGAGAUUCCCCCAGUAGCGGCGAGCGAACGGGGAGCAGCCCAGAGUCUGAAUCAGCUUGUGUGUUAGUGGAACGGUCUGGAAAGUCCGACGGUACAGGGUGAUAGUCCCGUACACCAAAAUGCACAGGCUGUGAACUCGAAGAGUAGGGCGGGACACGUGGUAUCCUGUCUGAAUAUGGGGGGACCAUCCUCCAAGGCUAAAUACUCCUGACUGACCGAUAGUGAACCAGUACCGUGAGGGAAAGGCGAAAAGAACCCCGGCGAGGGGAGUGAAAAAGAACCUGAAACCGUGUACGUACAAGCAGUGGGAGCACCUUCGGGUGUGACUGCGUACCUUUUGUAUAAUGGGUCAGCGACUUAUAUUCUGUAGCAAGGUUAACCGUAUAGGGGAGCCGCAGGGAAACCGAGUCUUAACUGGGCGUUAAGUUGCAGGGUAUAGACCCGAAACCCGGUGAUCUAGCCAUGGGCAGGUUGAAGGUUGGGUAACACUAACUGGAGGACCGAACCGACUAAUGUUGAAAAAUUAGCGGAUGACUUGUGGCUGGGGGUGAAAGGCCAAUCAAACCGGGAGAUAGCUGGUUCUCCCCGAAAGCUAUUUAGGUAGCGCCUCGUGAACUCAUCUUCGGGGGUAGAGCACUGUUUCGGCUAGGGGGUCAUCCCGACUUACCAACCCGAUGCAAACUACGAAUACCGAAGAAUGUUAUCACGGGAGACACACGGCGGGUGCUAACGUCCGUCGUGAAGAGGGAAACAACCCAGACCGCCAGCUAAGGUCCCAAAGUCAUGGUUAAGUGGGAAACGAUGUGGGAAGGCACAGACAGCCAGGAUGUUGGCUUAGAAGCAGCCAUCAUUUAAAGAAAGCGUAAUAGCUCACUGGUCGAGUCGGCCUGCGCGGAAGAUGUAACGGGGCUAAACCAUGCACCGAAGCUGCGGCAGCGACACUAUGUGUUGUUGGGUAGGGGAGCGUUCUGUAAGCCUGCGAAGGUGACCUGUGAGGGUUGCUGGAGGUAUCAGAAGUGCGAAUGCUGACAUAAGUAACGAUAAAGCGGGUGAAAAGCCCGCUCGCCGGAAGACCAAGGGUUCCUGUCCAACGUUAAUCGGGGCAGGGUGAGUCGACCCCUAAGGCGAGGCCGAAAGGCGUAGUCGAUGGGAAACAGGUUAAUAUUCCUGUACUUGGUGUUACUGCGAAGGGGGGACGGAGAAGGCUAUGUUAGCCGGGCGACGGUUGUCCCGGUUUAAGCAUGUAGGCUGGUUGUCCAGGCAAAUCCGGAUAAUCAAGGCUGAGGUGUGAUGACGAGGCACUACGGUGCUGAAGUAACAAAUGCCCUGCUUCCAGGAAAAGCCUCUAAGCAUCAGGUAACAUUAAAUCGUACCCCAAACCGACACAGGUGGUCAGGUAGAGAAUACCAAGGCGCUUGAGAGAACUCGGGUGAAGGAACUAGGCAAAAUGGUGCCGUAACUUCGGGAGAAGGCACGCUGGUGUGUAGGUGAAGUCCCUGCGGAUGGAGCUGAGACCAGUCGAAGAUACCAGCUGGCUGCAACUGUUUAUUAAAAACACAGCACUGUGCAAACACGAAAGUGGACGUAUACGGUGUGACGCCUGCCCGGUGCCGGAAGGUUAAUUGAUGGGGUUAUCCGUAAGGAGAAGCUCUUGAUCGAAGCCCCGGUAAACGGCGGCCGUAACUAUAACGGUCCUAAGGUAGCGAAAUUCCUUGUCGGGUAAGUUCCGACCUGCACGAAUGGCGUAAUGAUGGCCAGGCUGUCUCCACCCGAGACUCAGUGAAAUUGAACUCGCUGUGAAGAUGCAGUGUACCCGCGGCAAGACGGAAAGACCCCGUGAACCUUUACUAUAGCUUGACACUGAACAUUGAGCCUUGAUGUGUAGGAUAGGUGGGAGGCUUUGAAGCGUGGACGCCAGUCUGCGUGGAGCCAACCUUGAAAUACCACCCUUUAAUGUUUGAUGUUCUAACGUUGGCCCCUUACCGGGGUUGCGGACAGUGUCUGGUGGGUAGUUUGACUGGGGCGGUCUCCUCCCAAAGCGUAACGGAGGAGCACGAAGGUUAGCUAAUCCUGGUCGGACAUCAGGAGGUUAGUGCAAUGGCAUAAGCUAGCUUGACUGCGAGCGUGACGGCGCGAGCAGGUGCGAAAGCAGGUCAUAGUGAUCCGGUGGUUCUGAAUGGAAGGGCCAUCGCUCAACGGAUAAAAGGUACUCCGGGGAUAACAGGCUGAUACCGCCCAAGAGUUCAUAUCGACGGCGGUGUUUGGCACCUCGAUGUCGGCUCAUCACAUCCUGGGGCUGAAGUAGGUCCCAAGGGUAUGGCUGUUCGCCAUUUAAAGUGGUACGCGAGCUGGGUUUAGAACGUCGUGAGACAGUUCGGUCCCUAUCUGCCGUGGGCGCUGGAGAAUUGAGGGGGGCUGCUCCUAGUACGAGAGGACCGGAGUGGACGCAUCACUGGUGUUCGGGUUGUCAUGCCAAUGGCACUGCCCGGUAGCUAAAUGCGGAAGAGAUAAGUGCUGAAAGCAUCUAAGCACGAAACUUGCCCCGAGAUGAGUUCUCCCUGAGACUUUAAGUCUCCUGAAGGAACGUUAAAGACGAUGACGUUGAUAGGCCGGGUGUGUAAGCGCAGCGAUGCGUUGAGCUAACCGGUACUAAUGAACCGUGAGGCUUAACCU
rnacentral:rRNA from 1 species